GAUGAACGCUGGCGGCGUGCUUAACACAUGCAAGUCGAGCGAAGCGGCUGAAUUGAUUCUUCGGAUGAUUUUCAGUUGACUGAGCGGCGGACGGGUGAGUAACGCGUGGGUGACCUGCCCCAUACCGGGGGAUAACAGCUGGAAACGGCUGCUAAUACCGCAUAAGCGCACAGAGCUGCAUGGCUCGGUGUGAAAAACUCCGGUGGUAUGGGAUGGGCCCGCGUCUGAUUAGGCAGUUGGCGGGGUAACGGCCCACCAAACCGACGAUCAGUAGCCGGCCUGAGAGGGCGACCGGCCACAUUGGGACUGAGACACGGCCCAAACUCCUACGGGAGGCAGCAGUGGGGAAUAUUGCACAAUGGGGGAAACCCUGAUGCAGCGACGCCGCGUGAGCGAAGAAGUAUUUCGGUAUGUAAAGCUCUAUCAGCAGGGAAG
rnacentral:rRNA from 1 species